UACGUAGGGAGCAAGCGUUGUCCGGAAUCAUUGGGCGUAAAGCGCGCGUAGGCGGCCUCAUAAGUCCGUUGUGAAAGUCAAAGGCUCAACCUUUGAAAGCCGAUGGAUACUGUGAGGCUAGAGUCCGGAAGAGGCGAGUGGAAUUCCUGGUGUAGCGGUGGAAUGCGCAGAUAUCAGGAGGAACACCAAUAGCGAAGGCAGCUCGCUGAGACGGUACUGACGCUAAGGCGCGAAAGCGUGGGGAGCGAACAGG
rnacentral:rRNA from 1 species